UGAACAUAGUGGAGCAUGUGUCCUUCUUACCGGUUGGGACAUCUUCUGGAUAUAUGCCCAGGAGAGGUAUGGAUAACAUUUUCAUAAAAGUCAAUGCUUUCCCCUCUGCUGCAAAGGGGCUUAUACGGAUCACUGUCUAAUUUUCCAUUUUUAUUUUCGUUAAAGUACAGUAGGUGAGAUUUCCAUUCGACUCAUACACAGAAGCAUUGGUCCUGUGAAUUCACAUUGCAGGCUGUUUUAUUUUGUUGUAAACAUGGAAAGCAAUUAUAAUUUUCAUUAAAUAGGAUGAUUACAAAAGGAAGCCAACAUUUCACAAACAAGAUAUUGAUUCUCCAGUUGACUGUGUACUGUUCUCUUCAGACAGGAACUUUUUGUAGUUUCUAACAGGACUUUUAAUGAAAUUGAGACUUAUUGUUCUUCAUUUAUUUUUAGAGGAAUUAUUUAUUGUCCAUUUAUUUUGUGUUAUGCCUUUUUCUGGGCAUUGUGUCUCUUGUUUUUCAUAAGGACUAUACUCGUUUGAAUUAAUGUGAGUUUGAGUAAUGUAUUUUACAUGUAGUAAGAGUCCACUGAUUUGAUUGUUCCCUAGACAUAGUUCUUAAUGUGACGUUUUGUGUUUCCUCUAAUCCAUGUGGUUACAGAAGUGUAGCUGUAAAAUUCUAUAUUGUUUGUCGUGAGGAAUAUUCUAAGGGAAGUAUUUAAGAUUUUAUUACUUUCAAUGAAGUGAUAUUUUAAGCUUCCUAUAUUGUCCAUUAUUUUAAAUAAUCAGCAUAUAGUUCUUUACAAGCCCUUAGAGUAACAUGCAGUAAGAGCCUAUGAAUUAUUGAACCAUGUAUGAUAUGAAAUGAACUACCAGAUAUAGGUGAUUUGACUGUGUUUUUGAAACUCACUGGCAAUUUCUGUAUCAUGCUGUGCUUCCUACAACAUCUUAACACGGAACUUUAGAAAAAUUAAAUGAAUUGAAAAUGUUAGUGCUUUAUUUUUUCUCCCUUGUUUUUACUUCGUUUUACUCACUAAAACACUGGUGAGAUGGGAGCUGUCUAAUGCUUGCUGUCAUUGCGUUUUAUUUUAACUGCUUCGCUAUGUAAUAGUGAUUAUGUAGAGAAAUUGAUUCAUGAAUCAUUAAGGUCCCGGGGAGUUAAAAAAGAUCAUAUAGUAUGUAAGGAAUUUGUUUUAAGACAACAGCCAAAUUGAAGAUUGGUACAUAGUUCAAACUUUCUUUUUUAAUGGGUGGCUUUGACACACAGAGCUGACUCCUGAAUAGAACAGGUAUUUAAGGUGACACUGACUCAAUUCAAAAUGUAGAUAGAACUUCAACCCAAUGGAAUUUUAUUAGCUUCAUCUAUUGAACAUUUCCCAUAACUGUAGAAUGGUGCUAUCAGAGACUUAAGACAGAAUUAUUUUCUUCUUUUACGUAUGAUAAAAGGUUGUCUCCACAGGCUUAUUGAGAUCGGAGUGAGAUGAGAUUAAUUCCUGACUGCAUGGCUCUGCUUCUUACCUAUUUUCCCCUUGUCGUGUGUUCCUUUUAUUGUCUGCAUUUCUUUUCUGAAGUUCUUGAUACCCUAAAGAAAAUUAUUAAGAAUUACCUUUUCUUGAGGUAUUGUUGCAGAUCCAAAGCAUGGUUUACUUUUAAAAAAUUAAAAUCAAGUCUUCAAAAGUGGUAAAAUGACUUAUACUUUCUAUUUCUAGAAUAGGGCGAUUCGAUUCUGUCUGUCUGUCUGUCUCUGUCUCUGUCUGUCUCUCUGUGUCUCUCUGUCUCUUCCUCUCUGUCUUUCUCUCUCUGUCUCUCUCUGACUCUCUCUCUCUCUCUCUCUCUCCCUCUCUCUCUCUCUCUCUCUGGAACUGACUCUGUAGACCAGCAUAGCCUUGAACCCAGAAAUUCUCCUGCCUCUGCCUCCCAAAUUCUGAGAUUAAAUGUGUGUACCACCAGGCCCAGCUAGUUUGACUUACAUACUAGAUUUUGUUCAUGUAUAUGUUUAUUUGUUAGAAUAUUGUUACAUUCAGAUUUUAAUCAUUUUGUGGCUUAGAUUAAAAGAAAAAUAAGUCAGAUUAACUCACUUACAUAUUCCCCCAUCUUGGUGUAAUAGUACUUACACUAAGUUUUUUUUUUUUUUUUCUAUUUGUAUGAAUAACCUCAGCCAUAAAACACUUGUGUCAAGAUCUAUAUUUAAAGUGUCCUUACCUCUCUGGCAGAUGUGAUCUAGUUUCUGCUUUAACGGUUAUGUUUGUGGGGAUUUGGCAUUGUAUAAAGGCAGCUGAUAUUCUCAGGUCUCUUUAGGGGGCCAUUUUGUCAUAAUGCGUCUCAGUGGCCUUCUUCUUCUUCACACCCUUCCUUAUUAGCCCACAGAGAAGUCUGUUGCUUUCUCCCCAGAGUGGUCUCUCAUGUGGUCAAUGGCAAAUUCCUAUUAAGAAUUUUCCCUUUUGGGUAAAUGUUCUCUUGAUUUUCUUUGUUCACAUGAGUGCACAUGUUUCUAAGUCUUUAGUCAUUCUAGGCAUCCUUCUGGUGAGGUGUGCCAUUGAAUCAAUGCCACAUGCAAAAUAUGAUCCCAGACUGAGCACCACUGUGAGACUCCUGCCUCCCUUGGUGUGUAAACUGUGUUGCUGUAAUUUCACAAGACAUUCUGGCAGCCAGUUUAUACUGCUGGGCAUGGGAAAUGUCUUCCUAUACUUUAUUUCAGAUUUUUGUUUCUGUUAUCUUUUAUAGGUGCAGUCAUUUUAACCAUAGUUUUAACAUUUACUUUUAUUUAAAUCUGUUUAUUGACAGCAUGUCAUUGGAUAAAUCAACUUAUAGUUUCCUUAAAGAUUUGCUGGGCUCUUGUUUGCCAGUACCUGCAUCCUAGUGGGUAAGGAGGACAAUACUCAUUUUCUAUGGUUAGUAUCACAGUUUGUGUUUCAUGUGUCGUCAUGCUACAUUGAUGAUGCUUUCAGAGAAGAUGAUAAGGAAGAAGAUGGGGAACAUUGUGGCCAAUUCCAGAGGAUUAUGAUAUGCUGCGUGCUGUUUUGGCUCUCAUGGCGAUGUGUAAGGGAUCUUGCUUUGCCGAGAUUAAUUGGUCACGGGUCCUGGAGCUCAAUCAUUGGAAGGUGGAUGCUAGGUUUGCAAAGUCUGUUCUAUUAUGAACUCUGUUAGGAUAUAACAGGACAGAAAAGUUUAAGUGGGGAAGAAGUUGGCUUUCAGCAUAGAAGAAAUGGAGUUUGAAGAUGAUCUUUCUAGAGGAGACACCCUCACUGUGUAGCUAUAACUGGAGGAAAUGCAUCCUGACUGAAUAUCAUUGUGUCAUUUGUCUACAUAAGCAUGUGGAGGACUAUAGGAAGAGUUGCAUCCUGGAGUGCUUCUAAGUUAACAUGUCAUCACAGAAUGAGCAUGUAUUAUUGUCAGGUAGUGUAAAAAUCACGAAUGGCUUUUGAGUAGCUAUCAUCUGUAUGGGUCUCAUUUCUCAGUAUCAUCUUACAGUCAUACUUAGGGAAGAUUCUGAGAAAGGAAGGUAGGAGUUGGAAGGGAAACAGCGGGGGAUACUUCGAGUAAAUCAAACUGAAAAGCACAAGAAGAGGGAUUACGAGGUAUUCGAAAUGAGGGUGAAGGACAGAUACAAACCACAGUGCUGUGUGAAUUGCUUGACUCUAAAAUCAAGUGAAUAUUGGUGUAAGGAAGAAUUGUAACUGAAUACAACCAUGCUGCUUACAGAAAUAGAUGUCCGUUGUCUCUGGAAGAUGGGAGAGUGGGUCUUUCAGGAUGCCGCAUUUGAAAUACUGUGCCCUGGAGCUCUGCAGAAAGUUUUAGACAGAAGGCUUACGUUUGAAUAUGAGCUACAUAGAUGAAAGUUCUGAAGUACAUAGGGAAGCAAGCAAUUGGUACUAGUAGGGAUGGGACAGAAUAAGUGAGGGCUCAAAGGAAGGGAGACAGGACAUUGAUGUUGCAGCUUCAAGGCUUAAUGAUCUCCAGUGGCAUUUUCUGAAUGUACUAUGUGAUAGACUUUGUCCUGACUAAUCUCUGAAGAAUAUUGGAAAUAGUUUUAAUUUAAACUCUUUAGAGUACUGUAUGCCAUGUCAUGCCAUGCCAUGCCAUACCAUGCCAUACCAUACCAUACCAUGCCAUACCAUACCAUACCAUACCAUACCAUGCUUGCCCUGUGAGUUAAUGUCAAGCACUAGGUUGCUUAGAACAGAUUCCGAUUUUUUUUUAUUGUCUCUGCCUAAGUUUUAGAUUUACUUUUGACUGAUCGAUCACGCUCUUGCCUUUUAUUUCAGUUCCAUUUAGCUUAAAAUUAUCAUGUCCAGUCCUCUCACCACUCCCAUUUAUAAUCUAUAGCUUCAUUGUGCCUACUUCUCACUGCAUGCUUUUAAAGGCCCUGAUUAGUUAUUUUUCGUAGUUUGAUCUGGUCGUCCAUAUGCUUCACUAGCAGGUUCUGACACUCACCAAUAUUUGCUCUAAAGUAGUUUAAAGUUGUAGUUAGUGCUGAUUACAAAAAUCUAGCUCAACUUACUGUACUUGCUAGUGAUUUAUUUGCGAGUCUUGUGUGGUCUUUACAGUCUUCAAAGCCCAUGGACUAAAAUGCUUUUGGCACCGUAUCAGGCAUAUUAGUGUUGAACUUAUUAGUGGCUUAUUACGUUUGGAGGUAUUCACAGACAUUCUUCUGCUUGUAAAUGCCACAUUUUUAAUUUUGAAAAAUUUAGAGAAACAAAUAAGAAUCCCCCCGGGGCUCACGCUGACCUUACAGUUAACAUUUACAGAGUAGAUACGGCUCCUCUGACAUUUAGGGUCACAAAUUGAAUUCUCUAUUAUCUUUGAAUUUUAAUGGGAUCAUACCAGUCACUCCCACUGUGGUUUAUUCAUGGAGAUCUCCGCAUCACGCUUUAUUGAUGUUGGCAUCUGCUCUGCUCAAGAUAAAUACAUUUUUGCUUACUCGGUCCCUGGAAGAAGCAGAAGUGGACGUUUGUAGGCCAAAACAUUUAAUUAACAGCGCAGUGAAAGGUGUGACCUAGCAAAUGUGAAGUGUCUGCAAUGCUCAAGAUUGACGGGUGGAAUCAAUCUGAAGGAUGAUACCGCCCGGCCACAGGAUAAAGUAGCAUUGGCUGGCGUCUCUUAUCCAGGCAGACUCCAAGCAGGUGCAUGGGAUGAGGUUGUUCUAGGCAAGAUUUAGUCUCUUUUCUCUUUUUCCUCUGAUGGAGAAUCACAAAUCUAUUUAGCUUAACAUUUCUUCCCUACAGGAACAGACAGUACUUGCAUAAGGAAGCGGAGAGCUGACAGAAUAAAUACAGUUGCUAUAGGUGAAAACACUUUUCCCCCCCUAAAUGGAAGUUGUUCAUUUAUACAUUUUUGUUGAGUUUAGAUACAAUAUUUUUCCUCAUUUUUUUGUAUAUAAAGUAUAUACGCUUCAGGUUCUCAGUCUAAAUCAGUUCAAAUGUCCAAAUAGGAGAGUAGCUAAAGUUCACUUAGCAAAGUUAACCUCCAUCAGUACAGGCUUCCAUUUGAAAUGCACAGCUACCCAUUUGAUAGGCAUAUGCAGUACCAUCUAUGCCCCUCACACUUGCUCCAGGGGCUACUUUAUAUUUGUUCCAAGUUUUUGAGCACCAGGAAGAUUUUGGGUGACUGCCCUCCAAAACACAUAGAUGGUGCCCUUGUGUUUACUUCUCUCGUCCUCCCCCUCCCUCCCUCUCCGCUCUCUGUCUUUCUCCCUUUCUUUCUUUUUUCUUACUUUCUUUUUUCUUCAAUCUGUCUCUUUCUUUCUUUCUUUCUUUCUUUCUUUCUUUCUUUCUUUCUUUCUUUCUUUCUUUCUUUCUUUCUCUUUCUCUCUCUCUCUCUCUCUCUCUCUCUCUCUCUCUCUCUCUCUUUCUUUCUGCCCCUCCCUCCCUCCCUCCGUUUCUCCCUCCCUCCCUUCCUUUCUAAUUCUAUAUCCUCUUAUUUACAGCAUGGAUUUGCAUUAAGAUACAGCAUAUGUCAAGAAUCUCCCUGGGUGUAUAAGCAGGUAGAUCAUGCUUGGAACUUGGAACAUUAUGCUAUUUUUAUUUCAAUAGGAAGAAAGGACUUAGUUUGCUUGUACUGCCAUUUAAAAAUGCAAAGGAUUUGCCUGCAGGAGCAUAGCUUUCUCACUGCUAUUUCUGAUAGGAAUAUUUAGUAUAUAUGGAGAGGAUUUGAGAAGAUGCUCCAUUGGGAGGAAGGUGGGAUUCAUUUUGUCUAGUAAAGAUCAGACUUUUCUUCUUAUUCCAACCCAGAGUUUAAAAGUCACUGAAGUUGACCGUUGAACUGGAUAUACCACCGUCAAUAACCACAAGAAUAAAACUCAACAGAGUCCAUGUGCUUUUAUUUUAAUUUGUUAAAAUUAAUAAUUAAAAAAUAAUUAAAUGAUGCUUAUUAUUGGGAGCUUUGAUUAUGGAUUGGGCCAUAAAAUGAUUUCAACAAGUGGAUAUUACACAGAAUGUUUUCUAGCCACUAAACACUUACAUUAGAAAACCAUAUGUAUGCUUUACUGUUAUUUUUAUAAUAAUACUUUAUGGGUCUCACAUUUGCCAAGAGAAAGGGAGGGUUAGGAGUCACUAAAGCUGCAGAGUCUGGUAAUAGAUAUCUGGAAGGAUGCGACCCCAUUAGUAAAGAAUCCUUAAUUCAUCUAGCAGAUAACACUCGUUCGGUUUUGUAGUGUUCCAGCAUUUGACAUUCCAAAUCUUUCCAUUAUGAAAGAUUAUGUAAUUUUAGCUUUCUCCCCGCCCCCCCCCUAAAUCUCCUGAAAUACAAGCCUAGUACCUUUUCUACAGUGCAUGAAAAAGUUGGCCCUAAACGCAGCCAUUGAUCCUCCUUCCGUUUCUACAGCCACAGGAUGGCUAAGGGAAAGGAAAAUAAAUAAAAUUCUUUAAUUGCCGUUCCAUUAUCUGAUAUGGAGGUAUCAGACUUUGUGUGAGUUACUAGCCUUGUAUGCCUGCAUAAGUCAGUUUUUCUCUUGUGCUUAGAGCCAGUGAAUUCCUAUCUAAUGGUCCAUGCUUCCAUCGUAGGCUCACAAUCAGACCACGUUUCUGAAACUCUCUCGAAGUCAGGUUCAGCACCAGGAUCCUGAGCAGGAACCCAAGGUUGAGAUCGUAGGUUCGCACUACUUUUUGCCAAGGUGACUUUUGAAAAAAAAUUUCUUGUUGUAUUUCAUUUAUGUGUGUGUGCAUGCACAUGCGCAUGUGUGUAUGCUUAUUUAAAUUUUGCACUGUAGUAGUCUUUAUUGAAUUAUUAAUUUUAAUUCAGACAUCAUUAUUCACAUCGAUAGCAUGUGAUAUUUCCAUCCCUGGGGUGAACAUGAUUCAAUGCUCCAGUUGGGCUGCACCUGCAUCCUUAGGCACAUCAUUUCUUUGAGGUGAAGGCAUUAGAAAUCUCUUUUCAGAUUGUUAAAUGGUAAAGGGGCUUGCAGCCCAGCCUGAUGACCUGAGUUUAGUCCCUUUGAGCACAUAGUAAAAGUAGGGAACUGACUCUGACAAGUUGUCCUAUGACCUUCAGAUACUUUCUGUGCUGUGCUCUGUGUGGUUGUGUGUGUGUGUGUGUGUGUGUGUGUGUGUGUGUGUGUGUGUGUAUGUGUGUGUGCAUGUGCGCACACACACACAAAUAAUUAAAUGUAGCACAAGUAUUUAAAAAAUUCUGUUCUCAGUUUUAAGCAUAUGGCACAUUACAGUUAUCAUCAUUCCUUUCUUACUUUUUAGUAGCAUAUAAGACAGAUCUUAUUUCUUCUCCCUGACAGCCAUCGGCCAACAAGGAAUUUGUCUUUAUUAUAUGUAAUGCUGUUUUGUACAUUUUAUUUCAUUUAGUAUCUAAGAACUUUUUUUCCCCUCGAAUUGAUAUGAGCUGAUGUUCCUGUUCUGUUUUUACAAGAGUCCAGCCCCUAGAUCAGCAGUUCUGUUUGGUAUACUUUUGGUUAUAUCCCUCAGUUUAGCAGUUGAGAAUGGUUUGGGGUAUAUCCUGUAAUAAUUUUACAACAUGGAGUGACAGAAGACCAUUUGUUGUCUUAAAAUCCAUUGCUCUUAGCAAGGGAAUAGCAGCGUCCCUCUGAGUGUGUGUCCUCUGAAUCUUGUUCUUCAUUGUUACUGAAUAGGUCAUUUGUGUCUUCAGUCAUUAAACUUUGUCCCUUUUCUCAGAGAGAGGACAUAGCGAGACCAUAAAAGAAGCCAUCAGCUCUCCAGCUACUCCAGAGUGAAGACUUCUCUGCCCUGUUUCCAACGAAACCACAUCAUUGAUUAGAUCACCCCAGUGCCUUAGCCAUUUUAGCUAAGGGCCAGUGCCUUUUGUCUGUCUUCAUUUUUUUCACUGGCAUGCUCAAGCGUGGUGGCACACACCAUUUGUUCUUGAGUGCCUGUGUGUCCUUUCUGAUAAUGGAAAAAUUUUAGGGCCCUACUUUCUAUUAAUUCACUGAUGUUGGUUAUUUCUUGGAGCCUAUAGGGCACCCAGUGUUUUCGGGCUAUGUUAAAAGAGAAAAGAAGCUAAAACUAUGGUUUUAAGAUGGUGACCAAGUGUCCCAUUUCCUCUGCGUGUCCUGCUGUGUAAGCACCAGGACACUGGAGCAAGUACCCUGUUUUCUAAGGAUCUCUUCUUUCAGCAUCCCCCCCCCUUUUUUUUCAUGAAAACACUCUCCCACUUCUUAGAAAUGUAAUUUUACCUUUUGUACUUUCCAGCCCUGUUACUGAUCUCUGUGGAGUCACUGACUUUUAAAAUACUUUUUGCUAACAGGCACAAAAAAACCACUAUCUGAAAUAAUUUCAGUUGAUGUAUAUUUUAUUUUUCAAAAGCUUCUUUUAAAAAUACUAUACUAUAGUUUCCUUCUCAAGAUAAAUUUUUCCACAGUUUGUCUUUCCUGUGGAUAACUCAACUGUAAUGUAAAAUAAAAUUUGCCUAGCUGUCUCCAUCUAAUUGGCCGAAUGAGAGUGAUGUAGACAUUUAUUAAAUGGAAAUAUUUAUUACAGGACUUCCUAGGUCAUUGGUAGCAGUGAGAGUGGAUAUGGGUGAGGAAUCCGUUUAUUCCAUGUGUAACUGCACUAGAGGAAAGCCAUCUCCAUGAACACUUCAGAAAUUCUCUGUGUUUCUAGAAAUGCUAUGUCUAGCAAUGCCAACUGACAGUCAGUGAGAUAGGAAAUAAAUAUCUUACUGUUCCUUACUGGGAGAUAUUAAAUACAUAAUAUUUUACUUUCCAGCAUUUUCAGCAACCAUUGGCUUACUCUUUCUGAGCCUUAUAGAAUUUUAUGAUGGUAUGAGAUUUGUUUUGAAAGACAUUCAUUUGAAUUUCCUUGAUGCUACGCUAAUUACAAAUUCUUUUAAUGUUAAAAUGCUAAGCUGUUCACUUGAUGGGUAAUUAUGUAGCCUUAAGAUUCACCCAAAAAUCCAAAAAUAUGCAGUCGACAAAUUUUAGCUCCAAAGUAAGGCAAUAGGUUAGGUCUACAACACUGGGCAGAAAACCAAAACCAAAACAAAAAACCAAAACAAACAAACAAAAAACCCAAUCACACGUAAGAAAAUGUUUUCUAAAGAUAACUCAUGGACCUAGUUUAAUAGAAGGUAAACAUUAAGUCCAAUUUUUUUUUCUAAGAAUUUGGCUAAUGAAAAUUCUUUAGGGUUUAAGUAGUAUUUCAUGUAGCCUUAAAAUAUCAUUUAUAGAUGAUUAAAAUGAAGCUUGGACAAAUCAAGAAGUUCUAAUUUUAUGUUUAUUUGAUAAUGUAUGUCUUUAAUAAUGUAUUUAUUAUGUAUUUAAUAAUGUAUUUAUUAUUUUAAUGUAUGUCUGCUGCCCCCACACAUUGUAAUAAUAUAUGGGAGUUAAAGGUAUAGUUAUAGGAAUAAGGAGUAUGAUUGUAUGUAGUUAGUAUGCUUGCUUGCAAAGUAUGGCCAGAGCUCCAGGUUUUAUCACUAAAGCUGGGGCAAGAAGAGAGACAGGCAGCCAUGGUGGGGAUUGUUUUGGCUUUGUGCCUCUGUCAAACAAAUGUAAAAUUCCACCAAAGUACUCUUUAAUACAGCGGGGUGUCACUCAGUGCUACGAAGAAAUGUGCCCUCAAGCCACCACACAGGCACUGUACAUAUACGCAGCUGGAUGAGACACGUCCAGUCUGACAGAACUUCUGAAUGGUUCCAUCUACCUCACGGGUGAUAAAAGGCAAAGAAGCAGAGGCUGUGAAAGACCGUCGUUUGCCACUGUGAAGGAAGAGUAUCGGAGGAAGUGGGACGAAACAGAUUUGAAGGGCAGUGUAAUUAUUCAUUGGGUUCCUGUAAUGGUACAUCCAUUACACAUCCCCCCAAACCCAAUGGAAGCACCACCAAGAGUUCACCAAGAAGAGCAAACUCUAAAGUUAAACAUAGACUUUGAGCUCAUCAAUUGUAAUAAAAGUGUCAUCAUGGUGCGGGACUCUUCGGCGGCAUGUGAUGUGCAUAUGGGGGGGGGGGUAGGUAGUAGAUGAGAACUCACAGUGCUUUCUAAGUUUUUCUGUCAUCCUGAGCAUGCUCUAAAAAUGUUCGUUUUAUAAAAAUCCAUCUCUUUUUUUGUAGCCCACUUUUCUCCCUCUUUUGAAGGGAGAUUAUCUACAGAGAUCUUGAAGACUUUAUGAAACCAGAUUGAAACUCGUCUGUGAUUGUAAUAAUGAAUGUAGGCAAUAAUAUAUUCCAUUUGUAGACAUACUUAGCCAUAUGAGUCUGUGAUGUUGAAUGCCCUGUGGUCGACCUGAUUUUCCUGGUACAUAUAUCUCCUUCUAAAUUCUCAGGAACAAAUGGGGGAUUUCACAGGGAUACUAAACGGAGGUGCCAUAUUCUUGAAAUAGCUUUAUGCAAAUAUCAGAGACUCUCCCAAUGUGUCAUAAUUGCCUUGUUCUUAGAGCAUCUGGGCACACUGCAGUAUAGGAUGUCAAUUUUCCAUGUGGUGAUCUGGCCCUGGUCACACACAUUAGUUUCCUUUUGUACAGCCUGGGAGUGAUUGACCAGUCUGGGAGCAGGUGUUGAAGAAAAUGCUGGAAAAGACAAAAAAGUAAGAGGGUAGAGGGCAUACGAAAAUGUCUCUUUGAAAACAGUGUCCAAAAAGGAAAUGGAGGCUCAGUAGUCUGAGGGAUUUUAGUGUUUCUUAGUGCUUUUUUUUCUUUUUAAAAUUAUAUAUUCAUUUAAUUUCAUUUUUGAGUCAGAAUCUUACUAUAUCACAAUUCCUGGGCCAGAACUCUCUAUGUAGACCAGGCUACCCUCUAAUUCAGAGAUACUUGCCCACUUCUGCCUUUCAAGUGCUGGCCUUAAAGGUAUGUACCACCACACUAGGUCUUAUUCAGUAUUCUUUGGGAGAUAAAAAUUACCCUGUGGUGUUUCUAAGAGAAGAUUAUAAUAUCAAUUUUAAAAGUUCACUUAAGGAUUGUGUGUUUGUGUGGGGGUGUGGGGGGGCUAGGGCUCAUAUGUGGAAGUCAGAGGAUAGCAUAUGGGAGUCAGUUAUGUCCUUUCAAGCAUGUGAUUGUCUAGAAUGGAACUCACUGGGAGCUUAGCAGCAAGUGACCUUCCCUAGGGAAACUGUUCCCUGGCUGUCAUCAUUUAAUUCUUAGUAUAAUUUGAUAUGAGGUAACACUUUACUUUAUAAGGUAGUAGAGAUUGAAGAAUCUUGGCUUUCUUUUUUCUUUUCACUCGGUAUCAUCACGAUUACAAAGGUGCAUUUGGUGGGGUUUGUAGACAUACUCAAGAGCUUGGGAGGGGUGCUAGAUUUGUUUCUUUCUGUUGAAAAGUUUUAAAACAUAUAUAUAUAUAUAGUAUGUAUAAAAAUUUAGGUUACCAGGUGUUACUUUUUGCUGUUCAUAUGAGUACCAUGUGUGGCAUUUUCAUAUUUCCUGAUUUUCUAAGUAUAAUUUAUUAUGAUAUGAAAAAAAUCAAAGUAGGUAAUAAAUAUAUCUGUAAGUGUGAAUGGAUAAUUAUUAACACAGCUACUUCCAUUUAAUAAAAAGUAGAUUUAACACAACUACUUUCAUUUAAUGAAAGGCAGAUACAAAUCUAUAGUUGAAAAAUACACAAAUAUUAUAUGAUUUAGAUCCUUCAGUGAUCCUUAUUUCGGCCAGGUGGAUGGUGGUGGUACCUGCCUUUAAUCUCUGCAGCCAGCCUGGUCUACAAAUUGAGUUCCUGGACAGCAAGGGCUACAUAGAGAAACCCUAUCUCAGGAAGAAAUAAAAAAGAGUCUUAUCCAGUGGGUUGGCAUUCAUUAUUUUCAAAGGCAAACUCAGGUAGCUCUGGGGCUAAGAUUGGGAUAGGUAGGCAUUUAUUAUGCUGGUCAUGUUCACUGGCCCUAAGUCUGUUUUUAUUGUUUCUUAUUAUCUCAUUGUCUUAUUGUCUCUGCUUACUACAGCCCCUUCCUACCAAAAGAAACUUAAGUAACAUUAUGAAGAAUUAGUCAUGCUCUUGACUAUCUCUUAAAACAGGUAUUUUGGCUAGAACUGGUAAUUUAUAUUAUAUAACACUAUCUUGAACCAUGAAGACAAGAUAAUAAUUUAUUCAGCAGGUUGUGUCCAGAGUCACCUUUGAAUUUAAAGAAGUUUAGUGGCCUCGGUAGAUCAGAGUGGAACCUUGAUGCAUUAGUAAAAAUCUAUGCUAUUGAUUUUAAAAAGUUGGUUCAGGAUCCUUUUAUUGUUUUGCUGAUCAACAUAUCAAGCCCAUAGCAGGCACUCAAUGAAAAAUGCAUUAAAUGAGUCAAAUUGAAUGCUAUUUAGGCUAUUGAGAUGAAAAUUAAAUUGUAUCACACAUAUUCGCAAUUGCAAAAGAAGGCAUAAUAUCAGAACUCUAUGUAAGGAAGGAUGCAGAAUCAAUUAAUAUCAAGAACUUAGUAAGAAUGCUUGCCUGUAAAUAAUUAAGAAAAUUGAGUGACUGGGAAAAUGGCAGUAUACUAGAAAUAAACAUAUUAGAAAUAAAUGUGCAUUCGAUAUGAAUGCUAUACAUGACUUGAUUUGUAGUCAUCGAACUGGUCACUUGCAUUUAAGUUUUCCUGUUAAGUGAGGGAGAAACGAGUUAUCUAUGGGGUUAUUUUUAGGAAAGCAGUCUAUGAAAAACAGACAAAUAGGGCUGGGCAGAUGCCUCAACAGGUUAGAAUGGGUGCUUUACUAACCAGAAGAGCUAAGUUUGACUCCCCAAUGCUCUUUUAAACACACAGGCAUACUUGUGAAUGAAGUCCUGGUCAUAUGGGUCAAUGGCUGACCCAUUCUCUUUAGGCAGGCACCUUUUAAAAAGUAGUUCUUGUAAUUAAUAUUAUAUCUUUAAUUAAUUUAAGUUAUAUUAAACUUUGAAGAGAAGUGUAGCCCCAGUAUUGGGUCAGGGUGGGGUUAGAGGAGGCCUUCAGGAACUGAUUUUCCAGGCUUCCCAGCCAAAAGAGUAAGUUCCUGAUCAGUGAGACACUGCCUAAAGUCCACCAGACAUGGCGCAACAGGGGAAAUUGAUUGGAAUAUUGUCUGGUCUCCUAUGUGUCCCAUGGUUAUGUCCCCUCAGAGAGAAAAGUGUAAAAAGAGAUUUAGAAGCAAACAAACAAACAAAUAAAUACACUCCAGACAUCUAGGCAGUCCGGAAGUGUACAUACCUGUCUCUUUGUGAUGUAGAGUUCAUUUUGACAACAUAGGUAGGAACCUGAGAAUACUUCUUUCAAUGAAUUCCAAGUUGACAUCAGAAGGAGUUUUAUUUGAAAAAGGAAAUUGAGCUAUAAAUACCAGUGGAUUCAGAAAAGAUUUAUAAUGGGACAAGACCAGUUGGAAAUGUGAGAGGGGAUGGAUGUUCACCACUCUUCCCCCCUCGCUGAACCCAAGCUCAAGGGCGGGGGUGGGGGGAUUGCCAGAUGCAGUCAGCCAUGGGAGGGGAGAGAAGCUGUGCAGAGCCAAGACACAGGAGGGAACACUGAGGCCAUUUGUAGAGUAACUUUGAUUUUUCCAUUCAACUUAGAGUUCUCCCUUCUUCACGGGUGCUUGCCCUGUCUGUGGUGGGGCUUUCUUCUUUGCUUCUUGUGGACUUUAUAGAUAAUUGCUUCCUUUCCUCAUCCUUUCUCUUCCCAACAGUCAGUCUGCUAUAUCCCCAGCAUGGCAGGAUUAGGGAAAAACUGAAGCAUCAUCCCAAAUGUGUAUAUUUCCAUGUAUUGCACGGUAUAAUUAUUCAAAUAAUCAAUGGGGCACUUUGUGGGACACAACUUUGAGAAGCCCAGGAGUUUGCUUAAGAGAAAAAUUUUUGUUAUUAGAGCUUUCAUAAUUUGUUUAUUCAUAAUUAAUAUACAUUUCUGAUUUGUAUAUUUAUUAACAGUGAAGUACAUGUAUGAAUACACAGAACACAUAUGCACAUAUACAAUCUACAUGUAUAUACACAUAUACAGAACACACUUAUACACACGCAUACAUCAUCCCUGUUUGCUGGUAUUGCCCUAGAUUUUUUUUUCCAGUUUCAGUACACAAAAGAGCAAAAUGAUCAUGAAUUGAAAUUUUUGCCACAGCUUCAAUGCACUUGUUUUUCAGUGGCUACUUUAGUCAGUUGAGGAACGAAGAAGAGAGCCCUGCACUGAGAAAAGCUUACCCAUAUCAGGUUCAUUUUUCAUUUCAACUUCCACAGGAAUGUUUAAACUUAGGGAUUGUUUCCUCAAUCUACUUUGAAUGUCUUCUCCCCAAGUGGAAGAGCCUGGUGUAUAACGACAUUCUUCACUGUGGGGUGAGCUUUGACAUCAGUACUGUGUAUCCGGCAUUCAUCCAGGUGUAUCCUUUAUUCUUACAGAGAUUGGAAAGGAAAGCGAGGACUUUAAUAGAAGUGGCUGAGCAAGCCCACUGCCAUUCUGUUUUCACACAUUUAAACCCAAAAGUCCUAUGCUGACAUCCCAGUAAUGGUGCCAAUAUCGAAAGAGAGUCCUUUGUUUUUCAGUUUUCUUUUCAUUCCGUGCUUCUGAAGAUUUUUGCUUGUCCUCUACAAAAGUUUUAGUUAGAGUCCAAAGCAUAAGUUUUCGAUGGCCGUGCUUAAAGGAAGAUAUUUUUAAUUUCGAAUUCCAUUUCGAAUCAUUUCCUCACAUAAAAGGACUUGCAGAGAUGGAGAGCUUCAAUUAUGUUCAUAUGUAAUUAUGCGGCAACAUUUGCUUCAAAUCAUUGCACAUCUUUGGUGGGGGUAGAAAGUAUUUCUUAAUUACUGACUGGACUGAUUUUCCUUUCCCCUCUGGUUGAGUGUACGUGGCCUUCCUGAUGAGCUAUUUGAAAUUCUCUGACACGACCGUGUAACAUACACACUUGCUUACUGGGGAUUGCAAUGUUUUAGUGAUGGGCAGGAGACGGAGAAGCGUAUGAACCCAUUGUCUGUGAACCCUGCUCCUAUUUGUGAAAUAUUACGAUCUGAAUAUUGGUAAUAUUUUCUAUAAAAACUUAACACAUUUGUUCAGCAUAUUACACCUGAAGUUUUAUGCAUCUAUUUUAAACUUGAGAACGAACCCACAUUUCCUUCCACUGUUGUGGAGGUUAGAGGUGGGUAGUGCUAACUGUUUUGUAUCAAGUAAGUCUAAAAGGUACUGAUAUUAUCACUAGCAUCCAGUUCUACAUAAUUCCUGAUCCCGAUGACCUAGGAUCAUACAUAGUAAUAAUAAAGCUAUUAUACAAGUUCUAGAAUAUAAGUUAAAAGUGGAAAGGCAGUAGUGAGAGACGAAAAACACUCUAAGGCUUGAGAAAUCAUCAGAAUUUUUGCAGGAGCUGCAGUAAUCUGGUUUUGCUUUGUGAAGAGUUAAAGCUUACCAGUGUAAUCCUUCUUUCUUCCCUUUCUCACAUUAACACAGCGAGAGGAAGGAAAGCCACAUUAGCCAAGCACGUACCUGCUAUGAAACAGUUGGAAUUAUAGCCACAAAAAGGAAAUGGACCGAGUUCAUGUCGUAGUAAGGAGCCAAGCUGGGCUAGCACCAGGGCUUGUUAGCAUUCAAGGCUGUUAUUGUUCUCCACACCAAGUUCUGUUUUCUUUUGAGAUUGGGUGUAGUUUGACACUUCUACAGUCUUGGCUCUUGGGAGGCAAAAGCCAGAGAUUGAGACAGAAGAAUCACAAGGUGGAGAAUUUGAGGCCAGCCUAUGCUUCAGUGCAGGUUGCACACUAACCUGGGGUGCACAGUGAAAGUUUGUGUUAAGUGCAUAUCCCUUUCCUAUGUGCACUUGGGUAUGUAUACACACACACACAUGUACACGCACACGCACAAUUAUUAUUGAUCUAAAUAUAAGAAGGAAACAUCACUGUAAUUUUUGUGAAAAUUUUGAAGAUUAUAAUUUAACUUCAACAAAUUAUAUUUUAUUUUAGAUUUGUAUAUUAUGGCAAAAGAGCUAGAGUUUUGGGAUAGAUGCAGUCCACCUUAUGGUCAGCAUCAACCAGUGACCAGCUCAAUAUAGUCCAGGGGCAGGCAUCUCAAACACGUUCAGUUCCGUGGCCUUGAAAAACCUAAGGGCAAAAUAGUCUUUAUAAAUAGACACAUAUUUAGCAUCUAUUAUGAGGAAUAGGCUGUGAUAGACCGCAGAGAGGAAGAAGUAGUAUUAUAAAGCAUUUCUGUUCUUAAAAUUAUAUGUUUAUAUAUAUAUAUAUACAUAUAUAUAUAUACACAUAUAUAUACACAUAUGCAUAUGUAUAUAUGUACAUGUGUGUGUAUUUGUUUGUUUGUAUGUCUAUGUGCAGUGUCUUCAGAGGUCACAAGAGGCCAUUGGGUCCCUUGGAGCUGGAGUUAUUGAAGGUUGUGAGCUGCCAUUUAUGUGCUGUGUGCUGGGCAUUGAACCAAUGUCUUCUCAAAGAAUAGGCAUUGCUCUUAUGAACGACAUCAUCUAUAUAGCUCUGAAUGCUUGUGAUUUAAUUCCUGUAACCUGCAGACCCUAUGUACCAUUCCCAAAUGGUUGCUAAAUGAGUAAAUGAUGGAUAGGUAACAUAAUAUAAAUGUUAAAAUAAUAUAAUAAACCAAUAUAUAUAACUGAAGGCUCUUAGUUUCAGGAUCAAUAUGAGAGAACUGCAAUAUAAUAUAAUAUAAUAUAAUAUAAUGAUAGAAUAAAAACAGAAAUAUCAUCAUCCAUUGAAAUAUUAAUAGUAUUUGCAAAACUAUUAAAAAUAGAGAAAUUUCACAGCAUAAUAAGGUCAUGUAAUGAUAUAAAUAUUUUGAAUAAAAGGACAUUUAGUCCACAUAUAAGAAUAUCUAGUUGUGUUUUUCUACAUGGUACUGGGUCUGUCCAUACCAACAAGUAUGUUAAAUAUAGUUAAUUAAUAAGUUUGUUAAUUUCAUGAUUACACUAUGGUAAUACCAACCAUCUUUGGUUUGUAUGCUUUUGUUAACCCACAAAUCUCAGAAAGUUGCUUGAGAACUAAAGCUUUUCAGGGCUUUCACUAAUAUUUACUAUUGGAUCAAACUUAGUUCUAGUGCACAAGUCAUUUGCACCCAUACCCUGGAAGGCACUUGUCCUGACCUUUCCAUGACAGAUUUAAAAAAAAAAAAAAAACUUUUCUAUUAUACUCUGUAGUAUCCAAUCUGGGAUUACCUGCUACUGUUUUGUCUGAAUUUUGGCUUUAGAGUAGCUUUUUUGUUCCAUUUAAAAGAAUAUUCAUGCCAUGAAGAGAGAGAGAGAGAGAGAGAGAGAGAGAGAGAGAGAGAGAGAGAGAGAGAGAGAGAGAAAGAGUGUGUUUGUGUGUUUAUGGUUAUUCUAAUAGUAUUUCAUCAGGAAACACAAAAGUAAUGCCAGCUCUUUGAUAAAAAAUUAUAGCAAUGAAUGUGUGAUUAACUAUCCUUGGCAAAUGUUCUCCCUCCUAUUAAUUAAAAAGUAAUAUCCCAGUUAUGUAAGAUGUAUAUAAUAUAAUGCUGUUGGUACUUAUUUUUUCUUAAGUUACUUAAACUUUGAAAAUACUUUAUCUGUUCAUAUUUGUAAAGGUUUAGGGCAGUGCCUGGCUCGUAACAUGUGGCAUUAAAUAUUAGGCAUAUGAUAGAUAAUGAUUUAUGAGUAAGAUUUGUUAUUCCUCGGGGAAAGGAAAUAUGAGAGAAGUUUAAACACAUUUUUUUAUAUCAUGAAUUAUCAAAAUGUCAUUUGUAAACAUUAAAUAAUUUAUCUUUUAAGGCGUAGAUGCCUUUAGUUUUUGGCCUUCUUAAGAGUAGAUUACCGAAUCUGCUCUUCUUUGGAAGGUAGAAUAUACAUAAAACUCAGGGCAAACACAGGCUGUGCACAUCUCAGUAGAAAGACUUGCUCAGAGUGAAGACAGUGUGAGAGUAGAUGCAAUUUUGCUUAACUGUUGUGAUUGUCCUCAUGUUAUAUUUAUGUUCCUAGAGAUAGAUAAGACCAACUAUGCUCCAUAUCACUUUUCCUCUGUGGAGAUUCAAGCUUGUCACUUGUAUGCCAAAUCGUGUUCUGUGUGGUGAUUGGUAUUCUUUGAAAUAUUCUCAUUUACUUGAACUUGAGAAGUAUCUGCUAGGGAACAAAUUUUGUGAAAUUUGCUUUGUGAUAUUUUCAUUAUUUUUGGAGAGUUUUUUUUUUUUUAAUACUUAAUAUGUUCCAGGAUCUCUUCCAAGUUGCAGAAGGGGAGUGGAGAACUGACAGUAUGACCUUACAGUGGUAAGGUAGAGGUGGUGCUACGGAAUGGUUACAGUUGAGCUAGGCUUCACAAAGGCAACCCCGGGGGCAAUUUAUCCACUCAGAAAUGUCCAGAGGGCUUCUGAAGCCAACGAGAAGGUGAACUCUGGAGAAUGAGAGGGUGCCAGCAAGGUGAGGGUGGAGAGGUUGAAAUGGGAAGAGUCACUUUGAAUAAUUUUACAAAAAGAGAUACAGAGGGAGGUCGGGAUAACCUGACCUCGAGACCGAGGAUCAAAGUCCUGUGAGUGAGGUUUGAUAUGAAAGGGGAAGUUGCCUCAGAAGUAGCCAUGGAGGUGAGCAGAGGCCACAGAAUGCUGAAUUGUAUUGACAGUAUUAAAGGUUUUCUUUGUGUCCCAAGAGCAGUGGGGUUCACUUAAAACCAUUUAAAUGAAUGGAGCUAGAAGAAGAGGCUUGCUCUUGUGUGGAGAAAGCAACCUCUGCGUAGUUUUGUUAUUUUAUUUUUUUCUUCAAAAGGUCUCAUUUGGCUCAUAAAUGGUCAGUACAUAGUCAAGAGACUUGAGACAAUGCUUUCAUUGUAUUGUCUCAAGUUGAAUUCUACUGUUUUUAUACAUAUAUGUUUGUGCCUCUGCCCAACAGUAGGUUUAAAGUGUUUACUGAUCUACUGUCCCCUUUGCCUACUGUGCAUUUCUCUACAUUGUAAGUGAAUUACCAUAAGACUUACUGGCAUACAUAAUACGUUGUCCUUUAAUGCUAAUAGUAGUUUAUUAUUUAGUGACAGUGAGUCUAAGGCACAAAUAGCUGCAUGUGAUAUUAUUAGAACUCUGAGUGUCAUGACUGCCUUGGGAAGCUUUCAUCUUUCAUCUUUCUGUGGCAUCUGACCAUGUCACAGUAGUCUCUGAGGCGAUUGUUCUGUGACUCCUCAGCUUUGACUCUUAUGCUAAAGGCUACUGAAGUAGCCUUUCAUUUUAUGUUCGAAUCCUUGGAACACAAAGAGCCUGGAGGGGGCUCAACUCUGCGUCUGUGUAUAGAGAAAUGGGUUGGGGAAGUUUCAUUCCUUGAAAUCCUUGAUGAUGUUAGUUGUAAAAGAUAUAUGGAUAUGGUUAAGUCUCAAAUGUUUUCAACAGUAGUUUGUGAUAUGUUUCAGGAAGUUAGCAUGUGUCUGAUUUGGAAAAUAUUUAAGUAGUAGACAUACGUAUAUGUGAUGUCUUAGAAAAGUCAUAGCACUUUCAAUAUGGUGGUAACUUAGGAAGGCAUGGUCUGGUGACUUAGAGAAAACAUAUUUACUAUAUAUCAUUUAGUUUUUGAAAUAAUUUUAAAUGAAAGCAUACUGGGAAUAAAUAAUACCCAAGUUGAACACUUUGUCAGUGCUAGAUGGUGGAUAUUUUAAGUGAAAACAAAUAAAUUUUUAAAAAGGAAAUUUACUGUUGGAGAUCUUGACAGAAAACCACAGCCGAUUAAAAGUAGUUUUAAAAAUGACAAGUGAUGUGGAUCUGUUUCUAAUCCCAGCAUGAGAGAGGCUAAGAUACUGUGAAUUCAUAGCAAAAUAGAAAUGCUGUGUAUUUAUUGUGUAUUAUCAAGAAGGUUAUAGGAAAGCAUUCUCAGGGUUGGUUUUACAAUUUGAAUUCGAUGUCAGGGGCUCAUAUGUCAAUUCCUGUCCACAAGCAGUUUCUCUCACUUAUAAAUUUGUCAUAGCUAUAAAUGUCAAAUUCUUACUGUAAGCCACUGUCCUGGCUAAUUUUCAGACAACUUGACACAAGCUAGAGUCAACUGAAAGGAGGCAACCUAAGAUAAGAAAAUGCCUCUAACUGAGCCACCAACCAAAGAGGAGACACAGGGCAGACCUCGGACCGAGGCUCUAGCAUAUAUGAAGCAGAUGUGCUGCUCAGUUUCCAUGGCUGCCUUGUCUGGCUUCAGAGGGAGAGGGUGUCCUAAUCCUACAGAGACUUGAUGUGCCAGGGUUGUGGGGUACUGAGGAGGAGCCCCACCCUUUCAGAGGGGAAGGGGGGAGGAUGGGGAAGGACUCUGUGAGGAGGGGGGGACUGGAAGGGAGGGCAGCAAUUGGGAUGUAAAUAAAAAAAAAUUAAAACGCCAGAAAAAAAAAGAAGGAAAAAAAAAAAAA